GGGGAUGACCGGUUUUGACUGCAAGGUCAAUUGGAUUAUAAGCAUGUCGAGCUAAGAUGCUCUACUCGUAAAAUGGGUAUCAAAAAUUAAACGGCGAGAAUAACUACGCUUUAGCUGCUUAAUCUGAAUAAAGUAAGAUUAACCUAGUUCCGACCAGGUCGGGAAGCUAAAUGUCUCUUGAAAGCGAUGACUAACCGCGUUCAAUAAAGGGGCAUCGUAAAAGUUGGUAUAGGAAUUAAGAAGUCUUGGCUUUUUUCUGAAAAAUAAGAGACUAGGUUAACGGUGGGUUGUUUUUGGUCAGCCGUU
rnacentral:tmRNA from 1 species